rnacentral:rRNA from 1 species
AUGUGUCACCUUGCUGCAAAUUUCAUGAAGAAAUUCAAAGGAAAGGUGUAUACCGACAAUUUAUGGCCAGCAUCUUUGACAUGCAGUGUGAAGAAGCACAACUACCACUUGAGGCAGUUAUACAUGAAUCCCAAAGUGAAAGAAUACUUGGAAACACACCACUCCAAGUUAUGGGCCAGAAGCCAAUUCAGUGAAGUGAGCAAAGUUGACUAUGUGCACAAUAAUCUAGCAUAG